rnacentral:rRNA from 1 species
GCAAGUCGAACGAGAAAUCUUGGGCUUCGGCUUAGGAGAGUAAAGUGGCGCACGGGUGCGUAACGCGUGGAUAAUCUACCCUUGAAUCUGGGAUAACAUUGCGAAAGCGAUGCUAAUACCGGAUGACAUCCAUAUUUCUUAGGGAGUAUGGAUCAAAGACGGCCUCUUCUUGAAAGCCGUUGUUUGGGGAUGAGUCCGCGUACCAUUAGCUAGUUGGUGGGGUAAUGGCCCACCAAGGCUGCGAUGGUUAGCUGGUUUGAGAGAAUGAUC